AGAGUCUAAUGUACCAACUAAGCAAAGGUGGUGCCUUUGGCCAUGGUCAUGGAAUCUUACACAAUCCCAUGGAAUCAAAUGAGAACACACAGAACCUUCAACUGCCACGGAGAUGCAAAUAUGGAAGUUACGAUCAUCCAUAGUAUAGCACGCAUACAUGUCAAUCAUACUGUCAUAUUGAGAUGCUUUAUAGAUAAGGGGUCUGGGGGACUUUAUCCUCUGUCAGGUACGGAAGUGAAGUUCAACGGAACAAGAGAACUAAAUAUGAUACAGCAAACUAUACGGAUAACGAUUGUGCUUUAAAAGGUGCCAGUAGAAGUAUCUUAUUGGAAUCAAGUAUUCACGGACCUGGGAUGGGCACUGAUGGUGGAUAUUGGAAGGGUAACAAGCCUGUUCAAGAUGCUGCUGAAGUAUAGGCCUGAAGACAAAGCAGAGAAGAAGGAGCGUCUUUUGAAAAGGGCUCAGGCAGAGACUGAAGGAAAGACUGUUGAAGCCAAGAAGCCUAUUGUUGUGAAGUACGGUCUCAACCAUGUCACCUACCUCAUUGAGCAGAACAAGGCCUAGCUUGUGGUUAUCGCUCAUGAUGUCGAUCCAGUUGAGUUGGUUGUAUGGCUCCCUGCUUUAUGACUGAAACUCUGAAGACCAUGACUGAAACUCUCAAGCAGACGGGUCGAAAAGCGAGAUUGAUUGGGCAAGGGAUCCCAGAAGGUCAUCCCAUUAAAAAAAUUGUGCUCUUGCGUAUCGGAUCCCAUAACUGAAAAGGCAUGUCACAACCCAACCUUGAGUCAUGACUAAGGUGGUGGUUAAAAACUGAAAUCAGAUGGGAGAGGAGAGGCAGCAACCAAUACACCCCAAGCGGAUAUUGAUCAAGUGCGAAAUGAGUGGGGGAAGUUUGUUGUCAACAAAUAUGUGCAUGAGCCAUGAAGUAGCGCACUUGUUGCUGGUCCAUUUUUGCUAAGGAAAACAUCUUUUUUUGUGCUUCUCUGCUGGUACAUUGUCAUGCACCAUGUGUUGCAUGUUUUGGAACAAUCGAUAUAUAUGUAUUAGCUUUUUGAUGUCCCAAGUAGAUGGGCAUGCACUAGAAUGGUUUUCUUGUUUAAAAUGUUAGGUUCAAUGAUUAGUGGUUUGCAAUGUUUAUAUUUGAUAUGUAAAUGGAUCAAAUGCACAAUUUAAUUCAGGAAUGGGAUAUGUUCAAAU